rnacentral:rRNA from 1 species
GACGAACGCUGGCGGCGUGCUUAACACAUGCAAGUCGAACGGAAAGGCCCUGCUUUUGUGGGGUGCUCGAGUGGCGAACGGGUGAGUAACACGUGAGUAACCUGCCCUUGACUUUGGGAUAACUUCAGGAAACUGGGGCUAAUACCGGAUAGGAGCUCCUGAUGCAUGGUGGGGGUUGGAAAGAUUCGGCGGUUGGGGAUGGUCUCGCGGCUUAUCAGCCUGUUGGUGGGGUAGUGGCUUACCAAGGCUUUGACGGGUAGCCGGCCUGAGCGGGUGACCGGCCACAUUGGGACUGAGAUACGGCCCAGACUCCUACGGGAGGCAGCAGGGGGGAAUAUUGCGCAAUGGGCGGAAGCCUGAUGCAGCAACGCCGCGUUCGUGAUGACGUCCUUCGGGUUGUAAACCACUUUCGCCUGUGACGAAGCGUGAGUGACGGUAAUGGGUAAAGAAGCACCGGCUAACUACGUG